rnacentral:lncRNA from 1 species
AGAGCACCACUCAUCAAACCAUGCUGUGGUGGCCUCCCAUGUAGAAGAACUAGAAUGACACAACUAGGAUAUACAAGUAUGUAGUGGGGCUUUGGGGAGGAAAAAAAAAAAGAGGAAGAUUGGCAACAGAUGUUAGCUCAGAGCCAAUCUUCCUCAUCAAAAAAAAAAAAAAAAAAGAAAGAAAGAGGGAAGAGGUUGGGGGCAGGUGGGAAGUGGGGAGGGCAGAGGCCUUGGGCAAGGAACAACCUACCCUCUGUAGAUGGAGUCUGUAGGCUCGGUGAGGGCAGAGACCGUGUCUGUCUGGUUCAUGGCUGCGUCUCCAGCAUCUAGCACAGAGCUUGCCACCCAGAAGGUUCUCUGGGAAUAGCUGUUGGGUGAAUGAAUGAACCAGACAGUGCUAAAGUAGCCCAGGGAUCUUGCCGGGCCUCUAUGACUGUGGAUCACAGGACGCUCUGAGCAGGCCUUGGACCUGGAGUAAAGUCCUUUUGGUCCCUCUCAGGGAGUAGAGAGAGAAUGACACUUGGCUAAUGAACAGGGGAAGCAAGUAUCUGACCGUCUGGCCACCACUCUCCAUUCCAAGCUCUCAGCAGACAUCAACAAUAAUCGAUGCAGGCGCUCCUUCCCGGCAAGAAGGCCAGCAGACAUCAACAAUCGAUGCAGGCGCUCCUUCCCGGCAAGAAGGCCAGCAGACAUCAACAAUCGAUGCAGGUGCUCCUUCCCGGCAAGAAGGCCAGCAGACAUCAACAAUCGAUGCAGGUGCUCCUUCCGGGCAAGAAGGCCAGCAGACAUCCACAGUUGGUGCAGGCGCUCCCUCCCGGGGAGGAGCAUGGAUGGGGUCCCCGAGCUCUCAAUACAGCUCUUGGAGCCACGGCCAAUUUAUCACAAAUGGCGGCUGAGAAGAAAUGUAUUGGUCAACCCUGGACAAUGGAUGUGAAAGACAAGAGUUGGGGAGAGAAAUUAUGGCCAGAGGUUAUAGCUGGAAAUCUGCUGUGCAUUUGGCUUUUUGCUUAUUCACCUUCCCUUAGGUUCUCGAGGCCUUGGCUCGCCCACGAGGACAGAGGGAACUAGGUCAGUGUUCCACUCCAUGCUGCAGAGCUUCCAGAGCUCAGAAAGUGUUUCACUUUCUCUCUCUCUUCCAUUCAUUCAGUCAUUCAACAAGUGUUUGUUGAGUGCACUGUUGUGGAAGGAAGACACAGUUCCUGCCCUUUGAGACUCAGAGCCUAUCGGAGAGACAGACCUUAUCAAAAGAUCACCCCAGCACUUCAAAAUGCAAUUUUUGAUGCCUAAUGAGAAGGAGAGGUUUGCUGGCUGAUGAAACUCAGGCAGGUGUUCACCGAGUUGGGACUUUUAAAUGAGUAGGAAUUAACUGGGUGAAGAGAGGAGAGGAAAGCAUUCUAGCCACAGGGGAUGGCAUGUGCAAAUGCCCGGUGGCAGCAGAGAACUGGAUAAGCACAAAAGAACGAGGGAUACUGGCUAGCUGUUCACUAAACCCAUUUCCUCUUAUUUCCAGGAACUCCGCUAGAUUACAUUUCUUAGAAGUUCUCAUAUCACUUGUGAUCCUGUCACCCAGAGCAGGGCAGAGACACAGGUGAGAAGGAGCGUGGGUGCCUGAAUGACGACACAGAACAGAGUCUGGGUCCCCAGUGACCUCCACUGGACUGUACAUGGGACUCAAGAGCCACAGGCACUGGACGGAGCUGAGAGAGCACAUUUCCACCACCACAGAGAGUUCUGCUGGACACGCUGGUCUAAGGGGGUCAUCGGAAAUCCAGCCACAAGGCAAAGGAUUCUGGGCCAGUUGGCAGGUCCCUUGAACAGAGGUGCGGUGGACGCGGAAGCCACGGGAUGGUGGACGGAGAAGCGGUGAGCGCCCAUCGGCAUGGAGACAGAGGGAGAGAACGGUAUCACCUCUUGGACUGACAGAUAGGUGCCCACACAGAGAAUAUCCAUAUUCUCUGUCAGUCCUACAAUGAAAGAGAGAGAGAGAAAUCAUCAUCAUCACCAUCAUCAUCAUCAUAAUCCAUGUGGCUGACAUUUAUCAAAGGCUCACCACGUGCCAGGCACUAUUCACAGUGCUGCACUCCCGCCAUCUUGUGUAACCCUCACACCUACCCCUUGAGGUCGGUGUGACCAUUGACCCUGUGCCAGGUGGGCACAGAGCCAUUCAAGGACUCACCCAAAGUCCCACAGCCCCCAGGGUAUGGCCGAGCUCGGAUGAACAUAAGUAGCCCGGCUGUGGGAUCCAUGGCCUUAACUGCAAACAACAGGGGUCCCCCUUGGCCCUUGGCGGGUGUGGCAGAUGUGCAUAGGGCCCCCCUCAGCCCAUACCCACCAGGAGGGUCAAGACAGCCAUGCCUGUCCUCAUGACCUCAUCUCCAAGGUCACAGCCAACUGCACAAGGCUGGUUCCUUGGCUGACGUCAGCAUUGGUCUGUCGUGAGAAUCUGUUGUCUUGGCCAAGAUAGUGGGAAGACAAGAAGUGACUCCCCCCAUCCGCUCAUGGAGGUAAGGACUCGGAGCGGGCUGGACGGUGACUUUCACGCCAGCCUGAUUUCUCACACUUCCUCUCUAUCACCUGGCAUUGGAAUUGAGUUUGCUUCAGGCUCAGCCAUUUGUCAGCUGUGUGUCCUCGGGCAAGUGGAUGAGUUUCUCUGAGCUCUGGUUCUACACACUUGGAAGAUGAGGACGAGAACAGGACCCAGCCCUGGGAGCUUUGAGACUCGAAGGUCCCAGCACGGAUGGAGGGCCCAGGAAAUUGGAGCUGCCCCAGUGAUGAAGAGGACUCGGGUGACUCAGGUGGCAGCCUGGCCCUCCCCGGGCCCUAGAAGGUUCCACGUGGGACUUACGGACUGGAGACCCUUCCCUGGUCCCUCCCAGCUGGUCCACCAGGCCCUUCCAAACCACUUCAACCCGCAGAUUCCUCAUCCUCCGUGCAUAAGGCUGGUAUUGUUAACGGUGGAAAGAGGCAGUGUAGGUUGGGGGCUGAACGAGGAGGGAGGCAGGGUUAUGGGUUCGAAUCCCUCCUCUUAACUGUGAUGUCUGAGGCCAGUCACUUCUCUCUGAGCUUUAGUUUCCUUUAUUUUUUUUUUUUGAGGAAGAUUGGCCCUGAGAUAACAUCCGUGCCCAUCUUCCUCUAUUUUAUGUGGGACACCUACCACAGCAUGGUGUGACUGAUAUGGAACCUGAAGUGAGUUUGCUCACCCGUUGCACAGCAAGCCAAUCUCUGACACCGGGUGUGGUGGAAGAAAGUAGGAACUUUAUUUUUGCACAGCACUGAGCAAGGAGAGAGGGCAGCUAACGCUGAAAUCCCAAACUCCCCGAAAAAGCUAAAAGGAAGGGUUUUUAUUUGAGGCUUUAGGUGGGGGGGGGGGGAGCAUAUGGCCUUGCUGGUCAGAAGCUUUCCCACCAGUCUGUAUCUCUUUGUGGGGAGGAGAUAGUCCAGGUGCUGGUCCUUGACAGUGUCUGUCUCCAUGGAGGAUAGUGGAUUCUGGAGCCAGGAAGCCAGAGAGUAAGCAGGGAAUGAGUGUUUGGGUUUUAACCCCAUAUAUGCUGGGUUUAAUGUGGGGAAACUGAUAUCAGGGUCGAUAUCAACUCCCCCCUAUUUUAUGUCCGUUCCUCAAUCUUGAGGGAUUUGGGAUGGUGACCGAUCUAGCUACUUCCUGCUGAAAUGGGGCAUAGGUCGUUUCAUCUCAUUGAACCAGUCUUUUAAUAAGGCGGUGAUGCUGGUGGGCUCCUGAAGUUAGGCCUGUAUCAUGUAAGUAAGUAACCAGGUAUUUAAUAAGAAGUUUUUCUGUAGAAACAAAAAGAGAAAAACAAAGUUAACAGUUGGAGCAAAUUAUAAACCAGUUUCUGAGCCCACGGGGCAGCCAAUCAAGAUUCCUAGAAGUCAGGGUCGAAGCAUCUUUUGCAGUUUGAAAUGUCUCUGAUGGUGUCAUUGGGCACUCAGGUAGCUUUCUGAGUGGCUUACACAGCAACAGACAUGAAUCUCUCUUAAGUUUAUAUUGGGUCCUCCAGCUUCAGUUUGCAAGGCUUCAGGAAAAAGGGCAGAUUUAGUUUUCAAUGACUCCAAAUGAAAAUGAUGGGGGGAAAAAGCCCUGAAAAUGUUAGUUUGGAGGUUUGUAGCCAGAUAGUUCAUGAGACUAGAAGAAUUCAGGAUCCAGCCCAGUUAACAGAUGUAACAAAAAUCUUAAAGACAAUUGACACAACCAAAAUCCAGUAUCCACAAAUGUGUAUUAUAGUUUCUAUUGAAACACCAUCUUUCUCUCUAAAAUCACCCUCAUUUUUAUAAAGAUAGCUAAAUUAAGACUAACUGGUUUGCAAAAUCAGUCUAGUUUUAACAAAUUUGUGCAUAAGUACAGCAAGAAUAGUAAUUGAUUACAUAGGCUCUUUUAAAUCUGCUUUGCUGGAACCUUAUAAGGAAUCUCAGGUUGAACUUUAAAGGCCUCUCUAGCCCAGGAAAGCCAGACUAAGAGCUUGUCAUCAGAUUCCACCUGCAAUACCCAAAGAUUUGGGUGACUUCCUCUCUUCAUGAGGUCCCCGAAAUAUUGGGGUUCCUUGUACCUGCCAGAGGGAGCGACAUUCUUUGCUCAACCUUACCAGGUUACUGAACCCAUAAGCACAGUACCAGGCCAAUAUUUCCAAGUGGCUUUAUUCCAGAAAGUCAACCUUGGUUCCUCAAAAGCUGUCUCAUCAUAUCCGAGCUUGUGUGUUUUUCUCAAAUAUGAUGUCCCAGUCAAAGCCUUGGUGUUAUAACGAGUGUUUCCAAUUGUGUCCUGUUAUAAGAAAACAGAUUCUUAUCGGACUUAUGCAAACAACCAUAUUGCCGUGAGAAUAAGAAUACUUACUCAUCAUGAGUUUUUAUGUUUUGGAGGGGUCAGAUAGGGAGAAAAAGAUGAAUGAUUCAAUUUUGUUUACAUUUGUUAUAAAUCAUAGUUCUUAAGAGAAUAGAGAAAAAGGUUUUCUUAAAACUGGAAAAAAACAAAACAUCAAAAAUCAGCAAUAUCUCAAUGAAAAAGCCAUAAAAAUUAUAAUCAUCCCUAUGUGUAAUUGGUUCUUGACUUAAUCUUGUGUCAGCAGUUUGCGAGGUCAUCAGUUCCUCUGUUAGGGUUCUGUAAUUUCUACCCAGUUUAGUUUUACAGUCCAAACGUUUAUCAGAACCUGCACUCUAGAGUAAGCGCCAGGGUCCUCUCCAUGAAUUUCUCUAAAGGUGAAACACAUUUGCAAAAACGUCAAAUAGCUGUCUGCAAACAACAAAACAUCCAAAAGUGGCAAUUGACAAAGACAUCUGACCAUGUCUGUGACAUAUAAUACUUUGAGAUAAUAACCAGAAUUAUGGCUGACAAUCAGAACAGAUCAGAAUUUUAGAUAAUUGUUUAAAUACUUGUAUCAAUAACACUCACUCACAUAAUACCAUUUAAGAAAGUUUAUUAUUACUUUAUUUGACAAUGCUUCCCAUAUAGUCUAAUACGUCAAACAAGCCUAAUUAGUUUAGCAUUUUUUUCUUAUAGAAAGAGAGCAAAUAUUUCUGAGAAGUCCCAGGGGCCCUCUGAAAAUCCCCAGAGAAACUCUCCCUCCUAUUCCAGGUCAAAAGAAAGCUUUUAUUCAGGACUUGAAUAUUUUUUUGGUGGGGGGGGAAGAUUGUCAAAAAUAUUAAAAGCUUUAAAAUAUUUGUUCAGAUAGGAAACAAAACUCACUGGGAAACCAUGUUCAGGUAUCUAUUCAAAGUGACAACAGAAACAGUCAAGGGGAAACAGUGUUACAAUAGUGAAAAAAACCCCUUUUAAUAAUCUUUUUAUCAAAAGCAGAUUAAAAGUUUAGGAAAAUUAUCCUUUUAAGAAAGGGGAAACCAAGUUUUAAUUUUGUACCAGUUGACUUUUGACAUAUAAGUUUAUUUACUUAAUUGGAUUCAUUUUAGUCUUAGCCAACUUGACCAUGCACAAAAUUCCACAGGGUUUCACUUUCACAAACCUUUCGUUACUUUCUUUACAUUCGGAAUUUGUCCCAGUACUUUAGGACAAAUUAUCUUUCUGAACUCAAGAAACAAAAAUAUUUUCAUUUUUUAUAUUUUUAUACUGAAAACAUAUAUUUUAACUUCCUUGUAUACAGACCUUUUAGAAAUAUGUUUUCUCAUAGAAAAUGCCUCAGCAUACAUAAAACGUUUAUCAAUAAACCUAAGCACUUUUCAGUUUCUUUGAUAUAAGAAACCAAAGGCAGACAAAUCUAUGCUUAGUAGUUAACCUUUAAUAUUUUAUCUUAUGUGGAAAUGACCUAGAUACCCAAUAAACUGCUAUUAUUUAACUUAACUUAGUAAAGCUAUAAAGUUGAAGUUUCCAAAAAGAUUUUUGGAAGCUGUUUUUUAAGUAUGUAGUCUCUAAAACAUAAUUAUUGUACUUCAAACUCUUACCCAGUUUUAACAAUUAUGUUUAAAUUACUCUUAAAAACUUCAUGUGACAUGACAGCAUUAACCAUCAUCUUCAGUUGUUUUAAGCAUAUACAUCAUAAUACAUAUAAUUAUUAUUAAAAAGUUUUUCCAAAAACUUUUAUCCUUUUAUAUUUAUUUAGUUUAUCUGUCUUUAACAAUUAUAUUUAGAUCAUGUACAAGAACCUCAUGAGACAUUAAACAAAAUUAGCUAUUAUACUGAGUCGUUAGUUUUGCUGAUAAAUUUCGUGGCAGAGAUGACAUGAGCUCAUUUGACCAGUAAACCCAGGCUGUGUGUCUGCAUCAUAGCCAACGCGGGUAAAUCUGAGAACGUGUCUAUUUUAAAUCAAACCAGCAAACUUCAACAGGCUUUUAUUCAUCAAAGAUCAUUUUAUAUCAUGUUAAAUAACUUGGUCUUUUAGAAGUUUUGACUUGUUAAUCCAAGACUGCAUUCCAUUAUGAGAGUUUUUGAAUUCUCUCUUUUCUGAAACAGGUUUUCAGAAUGACCAUUACAAUUCCACAUUAUCUCAAAAGUUGAUUUCUUUUUACUUGUUCAAUUUUAGAUCAGGAAUUUCGGGGGAGUUGAAGCGAAGCUCAGCUUGCUGGGAAGGUCAGCAAGAGAGAAGAGAAAAGCCCCAGAUUUGGGUUUGGCUGCUGGCAUGUUUCUUUCUUUAAUUAUUUUCUCUUAAAGAGGCAGUAAAGUAUUUCUGAUUUUAUUUAGAAGCCUCAAAAGAUGAAAACAGGCUUCCUGUCGUAGCUGGCUUUUCCAAUUGCAGACAUCAGUUUGGGUAAACUGAAAUUGGCCCAUUUUGGCCAUUUUAAAGUGGGCUCUCCUUUAGCAUGUUUAAUUAACAUAGCCUGAAAGGUAGAUUUCUAUGUUCUUACAAUACCAGGCAGGAAAAAUGUUCCCCAGUGAGACAUAAUGUUUAUCCCCGUAACGUAAUUUACAAUACAAUCAGACAAAAGAGAUGCAAUCAUUUUACAUAAAGCCCAUUUAAAUAUACUAAUUUCUACAAAUUUUCAUCUUAAUUUUUCAACUCUUAUACCCCUAAUUAUAACUUAUAUUAGAAUUCCAUUCACAAGCUUUGGGAUGACAAUAUUAUGUAGGGAAAGCAUUCCCAGUUAGACAUAACAUUUAUUCCCCCUAAAAAAUCCAGGCAAAGUUGGCACAACCUCUUCAUCUAAUAUUAGUUUAAACACUUUAAUUUUUACAGUCUUAUCAACCUUGGUAGCCUAACUGUUGCCCCAAACAGUUGCUGGUGAGGUUUCUCACUCUGAUUUCUGCCUCCUGAACUUUUAAAAUUUUUCAAACUGGGGUGAAUAGGACAGGUUUGUCCUUUAAUGUUGGGGGGCCAACAGAGGGGUCCCUUUAGCCCGUCCGACCUUAAGCGGUGUUUUAUUAAAACCUUUGGUUUAGUUUUAUUUAUGUCUGUUCCAUUUAUCCCAUUUUUUAAAAU